CAAGCGAGAGAGGGCGCACGGGGGAUGCCUGUGGCUCCCGGAGGCGAGGAAGGACGUGGCAGGCGACGAUAUUCCGCGGGGAGGCGCGAGCGGCCUUUGAUCCGCGGGUUUCCGAAUGGGGCAACCCGCCGCGCGAGGGCGCGGCACCGGCUUUUGGCCGGGGCGAACCCGCCGAACUGAAACAUCUAAGUAGGCGGAGGAAAGGAAAACAAGAGUGACCCCCCGAGUAGCGGCGAGCGAAAGGGGGCCAGCCCAAACCGCGGGCGUCGAGGCGCGCGCGGGGUUGUAGGGCAGCCGUCAAGGAAGAGGAGCAUGUAGGGGAACGCGCCUGGAAGGGCGGGCCGCAGCGGGUGACAGCCCCGUACCCGAAACAGGCUUGAACCCAGGCUGUACCCUGAGUAGGGCGGGGUCGGAGGAGCCCUGUCCGAAUCCGGCGGCACCAUCCGCCAAGGCUAAGCACUCCCGGGAGACCGAUAGUGGACGAGUACCGUGAGGGAAAGGUGAAAAGCACCCCGGACAGGGGAGUGAAAGAGAACCUGAAACCGUGCGCCUGCAAGCGGUCGGAGCCCCUUUUUGGGGGUGACGGCGUGCCUUUUGCAUAAUGAGCCUACGAGUCGCGCGUCGGCGGCAAGGGCAAGCGCCUUGAGGCGCGGACCCGGAGCGAGAGCGAGUCCGAACAGGGCGAGCGAGUCGCCGGCGGCGGACGCGAAACUUUGCGAUCUACCCCUGGCCAGGCUGAAGGCGCCGUGACAGGCGCUGGAGGGCCGAACCGGUUUACGUUGAAAAGUGCUCGGAUGAGCUGGGGGUAGGGGUGAAAGGCCAAUCAAGCUGAGAGAUAGCUCGUACUCCCCGAAAUGCCUUUAGGGGCAGCCUCGGGGGCUUCGUGGCGGAGGUAGAGAUACUGAUUGGGCGAGGGGGCUUCGCCGCCUGCCGACCCCAGCCAAACUCCGAAUGCCGUCACGUGUGACCCCGGGAGUGAGGGGCGGGGUGCUAACGUCCCGUCCCGAGAGGGAAAGAACCCGGACCACCGGCCAAGGCCCCCAAGGGCCGCCUAAGUUGCUUUAACGAGGUCCGCCUGCACAGACAGCCGGGACGUUGGCUUGGAAGCAGCCAUCCGUUCAAAGAGUGCGUAACAGCUCACCGGUCGAGCGGGCGGGCGUGGAUGAUGAGCGGGCAUUAAGGCGGCCGCCGAAGCCGUGGGACGACAGAUGUCGUCGGUAGGGGAGCAUACCCUGUGCCUUGAAGCCGUGCCGUGAGGCAUGGUGGAGCGCAGUGUAAGGCAAAUGUAGGCAUGAGUAACGACAAUGGGGGUGUGAAACCCCCACGCCGGAAGACCAAGGUUUCCUGAUCAACGCUAAUCGGAUCAGGGUCAGUCGGGACCUAAGGGAUACCAGCCUUUUGCUGGUUUUUUCGAUGGGCGACGGGUUAAUAUUCCCGUACACCCGUUGGCUGCGAAGCGGGGACGGAGGACCGGAACCGCCGCCUGCAGACGGAAUUGCAGGUUGAAGCAGGAAGGUAUAGGGUUCGGAGUGAAGCACCCGGGCCCUGCUGAGCUGCGACAGUACCCUGACACUUCGGUGGAGGGGACAGCGCGGGGAAGGCGGCUCCCGAGAAAAGCCGCUAAGCUUCAGGCCGGCGGGUCCCGUACCGGAAACCGACACAGGUGGUCGAGGAGAGUAUCCAAAGGCGCUCGAGUGAGUCACGGCCAAGGAACUAGGCAAAUUGGCCCCGUAACUUCGGGAGAAGGGGCCCUCCAGUGAUGGAGGCGCAGAGAAACGGCCCAGGCGACUGUUUAGCAAAAACACAGGGCUAUGCGAAGCCGCAAGGCGAUGUAUAUGGUCCGACACCUGCCCGGUGCCGGAAGGUUAAGAGGAGGAGUCACCGCAAGGGAAGCCCUGAAUCGAAGCCCCGGUAAACGGCGGCCGUAACUAUAACGGUCCUAAGGUAGCGAAAUUCCUUGUCGGGCAAGUUCCGACCUGCACGAAUGGUGUAACGAUCUGGGCGCUGUCUCGGCCGUGAGCUCGGUGAAAUUGUAGAGGCGGUGAAGAUGCCGCCUACCCGCAACGGGACGAAAAGACCCCGUGAACCUUCACUGCAGCUUAGCGCUGGGGUUGGGCGGACGGUGCGUAGGAUAGGUGGGAGGCUUGGAUCCAGGGACUCUGGUUUUUGGGGAGCCGUCCUUGAAAUACCACCCUCCGUUCGUUUGGCUCCUAACAUGCUUGAGGCAUGGACACCGCUUGGUGGGCAGUUUGACUGGGGUGGUCGCCUCCAAAAGAGUAACGGAGGCUUCCAAAGGUUCCCUCAGCACGUUUGGCAACCGUGCGUGGAGCGCAAUGGCAGAAGGGAGCUUGACUGCGAGACAGACAAGUCGGACAGGGACGAAAGUCGGGCAUAGUGAUCCGGCGGUACCGCAUGGAAGGGCCGUCGCUCAAAGGAUAAAAGGUACUCCGGGGAUAACAGGCUGAUCACCCCCAAGAGCUCACAUCGACGGGGUGGUUUGGCACCUC
rnacentral:rRNA from 1 species